UCCAAUCCAAUGUUUUCAUUCGCCCGAUUUCCCUGUUAUACUAUUCGUCCUCUUCUUCAAACCAAACAUAGGCAACGACAGCGGUGAAGAAUCCGACCUCCUCUUUGAUUUUCAAUCUCUUCCUCUCUUUCCUCUCUCUUUUUCUCUUUCCCUUUAUCUAUUUUUCUUCCUUUUCUUCCCCUUAUUCCUCUACCCUCUUUACCCUAUUCUUGGUCAAUUGAGAUCACCGCCGCCGUUGUGGCUUCCAGCAGCGAUGGUGGAUCUCCUUUCUUCUUUCCCACUCUUCUCUCUCUCUCUCUUUCUCUCUCCCUCUCUCUAUCUAUUUAUCUAUCUCUCAUUUCUUCUUCUUCUGAUUUGGGGAUACACUAAUUCUCUCCCUCUUUUGAUCCAAAACCCGAUGGCAAUCUCCCAUUCCCCAAUCUCUUAUCUUUAUCCUCCAAUCUUUUCCCCCUUCAUUCCAUCUCUCAUUUUCCCUUUCGCCUUUUUUCCUACCCAUCCCUCUCAUCCCUUUCUCUCUUAGUGAUCCGAACUGUGACGUUCCAUUACUGUUAUCUUCUUGAUGAGAACAGAGGAGUUGUAGUGGCGGCACCCUUCCUUCAUUUUCAUCCAUUUCCAACACACCCCUCAUCGUUCAUCAUUUCGCCCCCCAUGUUCUCAAUUUUCACUAGUGAAGAAGAAACCACAGUAGCAACCAUCAUUUGGAUCCGUUCCCUUCUUGGUCUCCAGUGUAAAUCCCCACCCAGACAAUCAUUUCUUCUUACCAAGCUUCCGGUCUCUAGCGUAAACCACAGUAACAACCGACAAACCCUCGGAUCUCUUGUAGCAACGUUAAUCCUAGGAUAAAUCCAUCCAAGUGCCAUUAAUCUCUUCAUCUGAGAGCAGAGUGGGUAUAGACCCCUCUGACGCAUUCGUUGUUUGAAGGUUAGUAAUUUAUGAUGGAAUUCAAUUGAAGUUCCUCUAUGUAUCCGUCAUUCGUUCUCAGGCCACAUCCUCCAUCAGGACGAAAUAGCGAAAGGUGGGGUAUCAGAGCAUUGCGGGACUGCGAUAGAGAAGAGAAGAGAUGAUUAAUUAGAUUACAUUUAAGAUCUGGAAUUCGGCCUGGUAAGACGAAAGGCCUAGCUCGAGAAGUUCGAGGGUUGAAGGAGAGAUCUGGAGACUGCUACCUCUGA